UUGAUGUAAUUAUUUAUUCAAGGUAUAUUAGCUAGUUAUAAACCUCGGACGAUCAAAGAAAACCGACACAAAUGAGAUAUAAAUAUAUAUAUAUAUAUAUAUACUUGUGGUUCGAGCUCGACAACUGGACUCUGACUGCGUACUAGAAUGCUGUCACGUCUGCAUUGACGUCACUAAUCUCACUUAAAAUUAAUAGUCAACAGCGGCCAUUUUGAAACUUAACUGCGAUCACUAAGCGGCGUCGAACGUUUCUCAAAAAACUUCCCAUACUCGAUAUAUUGCGUUGAUACAUUUGCGUAGUUGCUUGAGAAACGUCAAUCGCCCCCUUAAUGCGUGAUAUGGGAAAUAGAAAGGUUAUAAGCCAAUCCACCUCAAAAACACGUGCCAUUCGG